rnacentral:rRNA from 1 species
UUCCGGUUGAUCCCGCCGGACCCCACUGCUAUCGGGAUAGGACUAAGACAUGCUAGUCGAGCGCCUUCCAGCCACGAAGAAGGCGCGGCACACAGCUCAGUAACACGUAGCUAACCUGCCCUCGGGACGAGAACACCCCCGGGAAACUGGGGCUAAUUCUCGAUAGGCGAAGAACUCUGGAAUGAGUCUUUACCCAAAAGACGUUUAGAUCAUGCUUCUAGGCGUCGCCCAAGGAUGGGGCUGCGGCCGAUCAGGUAGUUGGUGAGGCAAUGGCUCACCAAGCCUUUAACCGGUGCGGGCCGUGGGAGCGGGAGCCCGGAGAUGGGCACUGAGACAAGGGCCCAGGCCCUACGGGGCGCAGCAGUCGCGAAAACUUUGCAAUAAGCGAAAGCUUGACAGGGCUAUCCCGAGUGCCAUCCGCUGAGGAAGGCUUUUACCCAGUCUAGUAAGCUGGGGGAAUAAGGAGAGGGCAAGUCUGGUGUCAGCCGCCGCGGUAAUACCAGCUCUCCGAGUGGUGUGGAUGUUUAUUGGGCCUAAAGCAUCCGUAGCUGGCUGAGUUAGUCCCCUGUUAAAUCCACCGAAUCAAUCGUUGGAUUGCGGGGGAUACUGCUCGGCUAGGGGACGGGAGAGGCAGACGGUAUUUCCGGGGUAAGGGUGAAAUCUUAUAAUCCCGGGAAGACCACCAGUGGCGAAGGCUGUCUGCUAGAACGCGCCCGACGGUGAGGGAUGAAAGCUGGGGUAGCGAACCGGAUUAGAUACCCGGGUAGUCCCAGCCGUAAACGAUGCAGGCUAGGUGUUUGGGCGGCCACGUGCCGCUCUAGUGCCGCAGGGAAGCUGUUAAGCCUGCCGCCUGGGGAGUACGAUCGCAAGAUUGAAACUUAAAGGAAUUGGCGGGGGAGCACCACAAGGGGUGAAGCUUGCGGUUUAAUUGGAGUCAACGCCGGA